GGCUGCAACUCGCCUGCAUGGAGCUGGAAUUGCUAGUAAUCGCGGAUCAGCAAGCCGCGGUGAAUACGUUCCCGGGCCUUGUACACACCGCCCGUCACACCAUGAGAGUCGGGAACACCCGAAGUCCGUAGUCUAACCGCGAAGGGGGGCGCGGCCGAAGGUGGGUCCGGUAAUUGGGGUGAAGUCGUAACAAGGUAGC
rnacentral:rRNA from 1 species